AUGCCUCUUCCUCCCUUUGGCCCCAACUCCCUGAGGCCCAGCCUUGUUAGUUGUCACACUACUGAGCCCCCGCCUCCCCAGAACUCCGCCUCCCCAGUGCUUCAAUUCCCUGAGAGCCUCACUAAACUCCACUCCAAGUCCUGACGCUGCUUGGCCAAGCUCCUCACCGUCUCUGGAUUUGUCUGCACUUUCUUAGGUCUCUCUCCUCUGAGGCAAAAAAAAAAAAAAAAGGCCAUGGGCAUUAUGGAGGGAUAGCAUUUACCAGAAGAAAUAUGGAGCAGCAGCUUUGACCCCGAGCAACAGACCUUGGCAGCCCCACCUACCAUGGCUUAACUCAGCCUCACUGAACCAGAUCCAACACUGUUGGCUCCCUGGGCUUGCUACAGCUCCCUGAUCCUUAGCAUCAUCUCCAAUUCUGGCUAGAAUGCUGCGUCAGGCACUUCACAGAUUUGGUCAAAAGCUGGUCCGUAGACAUCUGCUGGAGGAAGUGUUUGAGUUUAAUAUUGGCAUAAAAAUGAGCACUCUGGAUUUAGUGGCCCUGGGUGUGGGCCGCACCGUGGGUGUUGGUGUGUAUUUUCUGGCUAAUGAGGUGGCCAGUAAUCAGGCAGGACCAUCCAUUGUGAUCUGCUUUUUGGUGGCUGGCCUAACUUCAAUGUUGGCUGGGCUGUGCUACGCAGAGUUUAGUGCCCGGGUUCCCCAUCCUGGCUCAGCAUAUCUCUACAGCUUUGUCACCAUAGGUGAACUCUGGGCUUUCAUCACUGGCUGGAACCUUAUCCUCUCCUUUGUUGCUGAGGCAUUCAUUGUGGUCCGGGCCUGGACCCUGGGUUUUGAAAUCCUGUUUGCAAACCGGAUCUCUGAGACCCUGCAAGAGAGCAUCUCACAGUAUGUUCCCCAAGUCUUUGCAGACAAUGUAGGCUACUUUUUUGUCGGCUUUCUGUUUUUUUUCAUGGAAGUUCAAUAUGUGGAGUGGCGUGGGUUCUUCAGAAUUUUCGAAGUAUUCACAUUGGUGAAGCUUUUGGUUCUCAUUUUUUUCAUCAUCUCUGGGUUCAUUAAGGGGGACCUGCACAACUGGAAGCUCACAGAAGAGGACUAUGUACAGGCUGGACUCAAUGGCACCUCUCGCUUGGGCCCUCUGGGCUCUGGAGGAUUCAUGCCUUUUGGCUUCCAGGGGCUUCUCCGAGGAUCAUCUUCCUGUUUCUAUACAUUUAUAGGUUUCAGCGUUAUUGUUACCAGAGUCAAAGAAUCGCACAAUCCCCAGCGUUCCAUCCCCAUGGCCAUUGUGGUUUCACUGCUCAUCUGCUUUUUGGUGUAUUUCGGUGUCUCUGUGGCACUUACACUCAUGGUGCCUUACUACCAGCUUCGACCCGGGAGCACCUUGCCUGAGAUAUUUCUCCAUAUUGGCUGGGCCCCUGCCUACUAUGUUGUAGUUAUUGUAAUGUUUUGUAAUGUUUUUCUCUACGCCUCCUGGAACUUUACAUACCCCAUACGUGUGGUGAUAUACAUGAUGGCAGAGGAUCGUCUCCUGUUCCCUGUCCUUACCAGGAUCCAUACUGACACAAAUGCCCGUAUCGUGUUCACAGUGAUCUUUGUCACUAUUGCAGCAAUCACAGUAUUGUUCUUUGGACUCACUGAUCAAUUGGACCUGAGGUCAUGUGUAAGGAGUGUAUCCUGUUCGCUCUCAGAGACCAUCCAGCUGGGGUCCAGGCACAUAAUGAGCAUUUAAUAAAUUCAUCUUAAAUUGAAUGGAGCCUUACACAUUUCUUUGGUACAGAAAAUUCUCUUUUCUAUCAGGAUGUGGUGGUUUCAGGCAAGCCUGCCAGAGGCCCGAUUACCCUCAUACUUACCUACUCCUUUAGAUGCUUUUUUGAAGAACUGGUGCAGAAACCUUGUUUGAGAAGCACUGACUUUAGCUGAUGGAUGACAGAUGUCUGGCCUCAGAUGAACACUAUGGAAGGUCUGAAAAUUCUGGAAUUGGGAGCACAAGAGGAGGGGCCUAGGCUGGGGAAGUUGAAUUUGGGCAAGAGGGAGAAGUGUAAGGUCUGACUGCCCUCCUCUCUCCAGGCUUCCCACACAAGUCCUUUUGGCAGGGUUUAGCAGUAUGCCUUCUGUGGGGGGAAAAGCCUGCAAUGCCCUCCCUUGAGUCCGCCUGGUUCUUAGGGGCUCCCCUGAGGCAAGCAUUGGGUGGGUGGGGAUUGUUGCCAAUUCUGUAACCCCUCCUUCAUACGAUGGAAAAAAGGAAACCUAUAAUUCCAGAGACCUGGACUGAUAGGCAAUGGAAUGAUGUUACCAGGUGGGCAUUGGAGAAUUUUCUUAGGCAUUUGGGGGUUUGUGUACCUCAUCCCCUAUAAAAAUAGGUCAUAAAGAGAGGCCAAUAUUACAGGGAAACAGGUAGAGAUUGAACAUGAGGAAGAAUUUUCAGAGAUCAGAGAGUGACUGGGGAGAUGGAAGGGCACAGGCUCUCUGGCUGUGUGCAUGGCUGUCUCACUUGGGUGUGGAAAGCCUCAGAUGGGCUCCUGCCCAGAAACAGGAAAUGUACACAAUGAACUCUCAAAAUCUUUGUUAUCCCAUGAAUUCUCCAGUCAACUUCUGAAAUCAGAGGCUGGGGUGGAUAUGUGGUGUAUGUAAGGUGGUUAGGCAUUGGGAUGAUGAAUGACGGAAGAAAAACCUGACAUCAAUUCUCCUAAAUCUCCUUGGAUUUAGGAGAAUAUAUUGGACAUUAGGGAUCAAAUAGAGUUUUAGGUUUACAGGUCCUUCCUCUCUCCAUGUAUUUAUCUUGUGUCAUAGAUUUUAAAACCUCUUAAGGGAAAGGAACAUCCCUCUCAUGUAUUACUUCUUUCAAUCUCCACAGCCCCAAAAUGAUGAUGAUGUUUUUAUAGCUACCAUUUGCUGAGUAUUCCAAAUACUUUAUAUAAUUAGGUAUGUAAUACAAAGGUGAAUGAAGUGAGUGUUUUUAUGCUCAUGUUACAAAAGUUGAAACUAAGGCUCAGAGAGGUUAAGUCAUUUGUGCAGAGUGAGUAGGGAAGCUAGCAUUUGUACCAAUUUGAGCAAAGUUUUGUGCCUGUAAUCCCUGAGCUAUACUCUGCAGAACAGUGGCUCAGGAAGGACUAUAUGAUAAUUAAAACAAUGGCAUAUCUUGAUGAAGUCCUAAAAGUUCACGUUUGCUUUUGUUUCCCUUAACUUUAGAGACAUGUCUUGAAAGAAGUUGCUGUAGCUAGUGUUGAGGAGGUUACUCCCAUGUCCUCCUCUAGGAUUUUUAUGGAUUCCUGUCUCACAUUGAGGUCUUUCAUCCAUUUUGAGUUUAUCUUUGUGUAUGGUAUGACAGAAUUGUCCAGCUUCAUUCUUCUGCAUA